rnacentral:rRNA from 1 species
CAUAAUCAUUUGUCUUUUAAUUGAAGUCUGGAAUGAAUGGUUUGAUGAAAAAUUUACUUUCUUUAUUUUAAAAAAAUAAUUUGAUUUUUUGAUUAAAAAGUUAAGAUAAUAAUAUAGGACGAGAAGACCCUAUAGAACUUUAUUUUUAUAAAAAAAUGGGAUUUUGUUAAUGAGUUUUUGUCUUUUUUAAUAAAUUUUGUUGGGGUGACAUAAAAAAAUUUUUAACUUUUUUUUAUUUUAUCAUUAAUUUAUGAUUUUUAUGAUCCUUUAUUAUGGAUAAUAAGACUAAGUUACCUUAGGGAUAACAGCGUUAUUAUUUUAGAGAGUUCAUAUUGAUAAAAUAGUUUGCGACCUCGAUGUUGGAUUAAAAUAAGUUUCAGGAGUAGAAUAUUGAAUAUCUAGGUCUGUUCGACCUUUAAAUUUUUACAUGAUCUGA